UACGUAGGGUGCAAGCGUUAAUCGGAAUACUGGGCGUAAAGCGUGCGCAGGCGGUGAUGUAAGACAGUUGUGAAAUCCCCGGGCAUCACUGGGAACUGCAUCUGUGACUGCAUCGCUGGAGUGCGGCAGAGGGGGAUGGAAUUCCGCGUGUAGCAGUGAAAUGCGUAGAUAUGCGGAGGAACACCGAUGGCGAAGGCAAUCCCCUGGGCCUGCACUGACGCUCAUGCACGAAAGCGUGGGGAGCAAACAGG
rnacentral:rRNA from 1 species